ACAUUACAUUCUGUUUUUCUACAAAUAUAUCAUCUAUAGAAGUUGUCGGUGUAUAUAACGAAAAGGUGCAAAAUCCUUCAGGUUCAGCUGCGAUCGUUAUUAAUUAUGGCUGUCCAUGAACGCAACGUUGUACGAGUAAGAUAUGAGGUUGGAAUGAAAUGUCGGAAGUUAUUUCAAGCCUGCCACAAGAGAAAGGAGUAACGUAGUACCAUGAACCUGCGAAAGACAGCGAGUCCUGAACAUGGCGCGUUGGGAGUGUCAUUCGAUGAUAUGGACAAGAGAAAGGAGUAACGUAGUACCAUGAACCUGCGAAAGACAGCGAGUCCUAAACGUGGCGCGUUGGGAGUGUC